rnacentral:rRNA from 1 species
GACGAACGCUGGCGGCAUGCCUAAUACAUGCAGGUCGAGCGAACAGAUGAAGUGCUUGCACUUCUGACGUUAGCGGCGAACGGGUGAGUAACACGUAAGGAAUCUACCUAUAAGCGGGGGAUAACAUUCGGAAACGGGUGCUAAUACCGCAUAAUAUCUUCUUCCGCAUGGAAGAAGAUUGAAAGACGGCUCUGCUGUCACUUAUAGAUGACCUUGCGGUGCAUUAGUUAGUUGGUGGGGUAAUGGCCUACCAAGACGAUGAUGCAUAGCCGACCUGAGAGGGUGAGCGGCCACAUUGGGACUGGGACACGGCCCAAACUCCCACGGGAGGCAGCAGUAGGGAAUCUUCCGCAAUGGGCGAAAGCCUGACGGAGCAAUGCCGCGUGAGUGAAGAAGGCCUUCGGGUCGUAAAACUCUGUUAUAAGAGAAGAACAAGUUGUAGAGUAACUGCUACAGUCUUGACGGUAUCUUAUCAGAAAGCCACGGCUAACUACGUGCCAGCAGCCGCAGUAA